rnacentral:rRNA from 1 species
UACGUAGGUGGCAAGCGUUGUCCGGAUUUACUGGGCGUAAAGAGCGCGCAGGCGGUCGUUCAAGUCGCGUGUGAAAGCCCCCGGCUCAACUGGGGAGGGUCACGCGAUACUGAUCGACUGGAAGGCAGGAGAGGGUAGUGGAAUUCCCGGUGUAGUGGUGAAAUGCGUAGAUAUCGGGAGGAACACCAGUGGCGAAGGCGGCACUCUGGGCCGGAACUGACGCUGAGGAGCGAAAGCGUGGGGAGCGAACAGG